UGGAUCUUUUAUUUGUGAAUGAUGAAUUGAUGAAAGGUGAACCUAGCUCGCUCGUUUUGAAAGCUAAAAAUAUACUAAACGUAUAUGUGAAAGCUACAAAUCAUACACAAAGGUCAUAUUGAGUGAAAAAGUCAAGACAAUACGCCGGAUUACACGGCGACGUUCACUAAAAGAUUAAAGAUGCUAUACGUCGUCAUAUCAUCUCCCAAACAGGCAAACAUAUAUAUAUAUAUAUAUAUAUAUGUAGACAAAAAAAGAAAAAAAAAACAUAUAUAUAAUUAUAUAUACCUGUGUCCGGUUAGAAGUUAGUACGUGGCCAUGUAUGACCAGAGCAUCUGCGGAUAUUUUACGGGAAUUGAAUAUGUUGGGAAUCUGGAUUUUGAUGCAUGCUGAGAUGGCUGAUCUGUUUUGUCGGCUCUAGCAUAAAUUCGUCGUCACUUCCACCAGAACCGUCCGGAGUUAUUGUUCAAUUUUAGGAGAAAGGGUUCGACCACCGUCGGUUAAAUUCUUAAAUCUUAUUACGGACAUGCAUGAGAUUUCUUUUAUGCAUACGUUGAGAUGGUCGAUACAUUCUAUCUAGCACCAAUUAUCAAGAUCAUACAGUUUAGGAUUUUGAUUGAAAGGCUCGGGGAUCAUCAAGAUCCGGUUUCUCAUUAACCAGUUUGUUUGAUAGACCUAUACCGGUUUAGUGUAAU
rnacentral:lncRNA from 1 species